rnacentral:rRNA from 1 species
GACAGAGGGUGCAAACGUUGUUCGGAAUUACUGGGCGUAAAGCGCGUGUAGGCGGCUCGGCAAGUCGGGUGUGAAAGCCCUGGGCUUAACCUAGGAAGUGCACUCGAAACUGCCAAGCUUGAGUUCUGGAGAGGAAGGCGGAAUUCUCGGUGUAGAGGUGAAAUUCGUAGAUAUCGAGAGGAACACCGGUGGCGAAGGCGGCCUCUGGACAGCAACUGACGCUGAGACGCGAAAGCGUGGGGGAGCAA